rnacentral:rRNA from 1 species
AGAGGAUGGUCAGCCACACUGGGACUGAGAUACGGCCCAGACUCCUACGGGAGGCAGCAGGCGAGAGGCUUCGGCAAUGGGCGAAAGCCUGACCGAGCGACGCCGCGUGGGCGAUGAAGGCCGUAAGGUCGUAAAGCCCUGUUAGAGGGGAAGAAAAGCCGUGCUGGAAAUACCUUCACGGUCUGACGUUACCCUCAAAGAAAGCUCCGGCUAACUCCGUGCCAGCAGCCGCGGUAACACGGGGGGAGCGAACGUUGUUCGGAAUCACUGGGCGUAAAGGGCGCGCAGGCGGCCCGGUAAGUGAUACGUGAAAGCUCCUGGCUCAACCAGGGAACUGCGUAUCAUACUGCCAGGCUUGAGGGUGGGAGAGGAAACGGGAAUUCUCGGUGUAGCGGUGAAAUGCACUGAUAUCGGGAAGAACACCAGUGGCGAAGGCGCGUUUCUGGCCCACUCCUGACGCUCAGGCGCGAAAGCUGGGGGAGCAAACAGGAUUAGAGACCCUGGUAGUCCCAGCUGUAAACGGUGGACACUAGGUGUGGGAGGCAUCGACCCCUUCCGUGCCGUAGCUAACGCAUUAAGUGUCCCGCCUGGGGAGUACGACCGCAAGGUUGAAACUCAAAGGAAUUGACGGGGGCCCGCACAAGCGGUGGAGCAUGUGGUUUAAUUCGAUGCAACGCGAAGAACCUUACCUGGGCUUGACAUGCACUGGACCGGUGUGGAAACACACUUUCCCUUCGGGGCUGGUGCACAGGUGCUGCAUGGCUAUCGUCAGCUCGUGUCGUGAGAUGUUGGGUUAAGUCCCGCAACGAGCGCAACCCUUGCCCUUAGUUGCCAGCAUUUCGGAUGGGCACUCUAGGGGGACUGCCGCCGAUGAGGCGGAGGAAGGUGGGGAUGACGUCAAGUCCUCAUGGUCCUUAUGUCCAGGGCUACACACGUGCUACAAUGGCCGGUACAGAGGGUUGCGAUACCGUGAGGUGGAGCUAAUCCCAAAAAGCCGGUCUCAGUUCGGAUUGUAGUCUGCAACUCGACUACAUGAAGCCGGAAUCGCUAGUAAUCGCUGAUCAGCAGGCAGCGGUGAAUAUGUUCCCGGGCCUUGUACACACCGCCCGUCAAGCCACGAAAGUCGGCAGUACCCGAAGUCGCUGACCCAACCGUAAGGAGGGAGGCGCCGAAGGUAAGGCUGGCGAUUGGGGCUAAGUCGUAACAAGGUA